CACCACUCGCCCAACGCAGCGCCCAGUGCAGGGACAUGAAUGUUCCUGUGCCACCGCCCCCGGACGGGGUCCUUACGGGGCCCUCCGACAGCCUGGAGGCCGGCGAGCCUACGCCGGGUACGGCUGUUUUGCGGGGCGACUGCUCACAGGGGCCUGGACCUAGUGGGUGGGACUCCAGCGCAGGCUACCCUCCUGCCUAGAGCCCCAAGGCAAGGCAGCCUUGGUCCCGCGGGGAAACGCACUGUUGAGUGCGGUUUGUGUUGAAGGUUUGAGUUUGUGUUGCUUUUCAGCUGUUUGUCACGGGGUUAGUGGUUGGUGAUGAGUCAGAGAGGUCGGUUUUUAGAAACCUAUCCAAUAUUGGCUACUUGUGAAAUACUCUGACUUCUUGGUAACAUGACUUCAUUCGAUACUCCAGUUCUUGAAGAGAUUUGAGCAUUAAUGCCCGAAGGCGACCGUUGAAUGAAACAUU
rnacentral:lncRNA from 1 species